rnacentral:tRNA from 1 species
GCCGGAGUGGUGAAAUAGGUAAACGCAGCGGACUCAAAAUCCGCCGGGCGCAAGCCCUUGUCGGUUCGAUUCAGACCUCCGGCACCA